AACGUAGGAGGCGAGCGUUAUCCGGAGUUACUGGGCGUAAAGAGCGUGUAGGCGGGUAAGCAAGUUUGGCGUGAAAGCUCCCGGCUAAACUGGGAGAGUGCGCUGAAGACUGCGUGUCUAGAGGCGAGUAGAGGGACGUGGAAUUCCGGGUGUAGUGGUGAAAUGCGUAGAGAUCCGGAGGAACACCAGUGGCGAAGGCGACGUCCUGGGCUUGACCUGACGCUGAGACGCGACAGCACGGGGAGCGAACGGG
rnacentral:rRNA from 1 species